AAUCUACCUAGUAGAAGGGGAUAGCCCGGGGAAACCCGGAUUAAUACCGUAUACCUCCUUCGGGAGAAAGAAGGCCUCUCUUUGAAGCUUUCGCUAUUAGAUGAGCCUGCGUAAGAUUAGCUUGUUGGUGAGGUAAAGGCUCACCAAGGCGACGAUCUUUAGCUGGUCUGAGAGGACGAUCAGCCACAUUGGGACUGAGACACGGCCCAGACUCCUACGGGAGGCAGCAGUGGGGAAUAUUGGACAAUGGGCGCAAGCCUGAUCCAGCCAUACCGCGUGUGUGAAGAAGGCCUUCGGGUUGUAAAGCACUUUAAGCAGGGAGAAAAAGUUAUAAGUUAAUACCUUAUAACCGUGAUGUUACCUGCAGAAUAAGCACCGGCUAAUUCCGUGCCAGCAGCCGCGGUAAUACGGAAGGUGCAAGCGU
rnacentral:rRNA from 1 species